CAAAUGCCCCACCACCCCCAUGUCUAAGGGUUCUCUUUCAGGGCUCCAAUCCCAGACAGCUUCUGUCCCAGCUGUUAGGAAGGAGCUGAGAGCUGCAGGCUGCCUACCAGAGUACGAGAGGGAAGUCCUCUGUAAAUUGUCUGCAAUCCGUAAAAAGCUGC